CCCUUAGAUGUUCGGAGCUGCACGCGCGCUACACUGAAGGAAGCAGCGUGUUAGAGCACCUGGCUUGAAAGAGCUGGGUAAUCCGGUGAAUGUCCUUCGUGAUUGGGAUAGGGACUUGUAAUUAUUUCCCUUGAACGAGGAAUUCCUAGUAAGCGCAAGUCAACAGCUUGCGUUGAUUACGUCCCUGCCCUUUGUACACACCGCCCGUCGCUACUACUGAUUGGAUGUUUAAGCGAGGUUCUCGAACUGCUAGCGACUUAGCUUCGGUGAGGUCGCAGUGUGGGAAGUGAACCUAGCUUUGGUGUCUAGAGGAAGUAAAAGUCGUAACA
rnacentral:rRNA from 1 species